GAAGUCUGGUAAUGAACCAAGACUCAUCAGCUGAUUUGGGUCAGAACAAGUACAGGCUCUCCCAGCUCGUUUUAAGCAUGGCUGUUACCAUAGGCUGCUGUUUCUUCUGAAAUCUUCCGGGGGGUGAAGGUCAGAAGCUGAUGCAUGUUAGUAUGAUGAAGAGUACCUUUUCUAAUCUGCUCCUCAGACGCCGUUGGAAAUGAAGAAUGAAUAAGUAAUGUUUUCAAAGCCCGUGGGAAAUCAUGAGGCUACAGAUUCUAUCUUCUGAACUAACAGUCUGGACUGGAAAACUGGAAGUGAAUUUUAAGCUCAUCGAGUCCAACUUCCUCUUUAAUAUCUGAAUUUCUGCAAGCCCACCUGUGCUUGAAACCCCCUCGGUGAUGGGGGUCUUACCACCUUACACUCUGUCCUUGAACAGCCCGGACUGUGAGGAAGCCUUUCCUAACACUGGAUCAACAGCUGUCUCCCUGGGGCUUUAGCUCACUCACCCGGGGCAGUUCCCUUGUCCUGAAUAGAAAACAGACACAGUACCUAUUGUUGGGCAGCUGCUUUGCUCAGGCCCAGGACUGGGAUGUUCUUGGGGCCUCUGGCAGGUCCUCAUGCAGCAGAGUGGCCUUCACCUUCUGACCUGAGGCACACGCCUGGGGCGAGGCCCAGGGCUGCAGUGCAGGAUGGCGUCAGCGGGGUGAACGGGGCCGUGGCUGCCCGUGAGGCCUUCCCUGCUCCGUCGCAGGAGCUUACGAUUUCCUGCUCGUCUUUCUUAUAUUCAGCCCAACUUAAGCCUUAAAUGAAAUGCAGGAUGAGGAUUCAUGCUUACUCAUGAAUUUUCACACAACCAGAUCAUGCACUAGGAAUCUUAGAAAUGGCUCCAAUUUCCAAAAUAUUUAUCUUUUCUUUAGUUCUCACCUAAAGCAAAAGUUUAAAGCUGGCAACGUUGGACUCCCCUCCUCCCCUCCUCCCCAUUUGGAGGGCCGUUGCCCCUUCCUGUUCCAUGGUCGCUGGGCGCCUGUCUCCCAGGCUGCCCCUGCAGGAUGGCUCUGUGCCAUGGACAUUCCCCACCUCAUGCUGCCCUCCCCUCCUCCAAACCUACCUGUCCUCUGUCUGAGUCUCUCAGCAGCUGGUUUAUCAGAUGUGACCCUGGCUGCCAAUGUGUUUUGGUCCCCUUAGCAAAUCCUGCUUAAUUCGUGAGAUAGCUCCUGCCUUAUCCCCCAUCCUUAGCACCAGGAUUCCCUGAGGAGGUCGAACACAGGUCACCGGAGGGCCCGUAGGUGGUGGCUUUUUAGUGGGGAAGGAAAGACAUCAUGAUAAGAUCAAGGAUGAGAAACUGUUUUGGUCUGCAAGCCCCUCAGCACAACUUCAUACCUUGCAUCUCCUUGUUAAACGGUGCUAGUUCUGUUCUCCACAAACAAUAACAAUAGCUCUUACUGCGUGUGAUUAUUAAUUAUAGC
rnacentral:lncRNA from 1 species